AUUGAACGCUGGCGGCAUGCUUUACACAUGCAAGUCGAGCGGCAGCGCGGGGGGCAACCCUGGCGGCGAGCGGCGAACGGGUGAGUAAUGCAUCGGAACGUACCCUGGAGUGGGGGAUAACGCCGCGAAAGCGGCGCUAAUACCGCAUAUGCUCUGAGGAGGAAAGUGGGGGACCGCAAGGCCUCACGCUCUGGGAGCGGCCGAUGUCCGAUUAGCUAGUUGGUGAGGUAAAGGCUUACCAAGGCGACGAUCGGUAGCUGGUCUGAGAGGAUGAUCAGCCACACUGGGACUGAGACACGG
rnacentral:rRNA from 1 species